CUCAGUCUAUGAUUUAUUUAUUCCGUGCAAUUCGACAUUUACCCAAAGACGGAUAAACCUACUGGACCAGGAGAAUUCCCUAACUGUUCUGAGAGGAAGAUGACCCGCCUGCUGGUUCUGGUGCUGGCUUGUGGAGCUCUGCUUAUCUCCACAGAGGCCCAGCAAGGCUACCACAGUCUCCCUGAUCUCUACAAGGAGGCCAUUAAACACGCAGUCAAAAAAGCUCAUCAAAGUACCCGUCAGCACAUGAAUUUCAAUGCCACCCAGGGCCAUCCAAAGAUCAGCAGUGAAUAUAUUGACAUUGAGAUCCUCUUGAGAGCAACAGAAUGUGUAAAGUCAGCUGUACCAGAUCAUCGGGAUGACUGCAUGUUUAUGACCAACAGGCCAUUUAUUAACUGUAGAGUUUGCAGCAAAUGGUCUGGUAAUGAUCUUACGGAUCCAUCAAUUGACUGUGCACCACAAAAGAGAGUGGAUAAAGACAAAAGACAGAAA